rnacentral:rRNA from 1 species
UACAGAGGUGGCAAGCGUUGUUCGGAAUUACUGGGCGUAAAGGGCGCGUAGGCGGCCUACUAAGUCGGACGUGAAAUCCCUCGGCUCAACCGAGGAACUGCGUCCGAUACUGGCAGGCUGGAAUCCGGGAGAGGGAUGUGGAAUUCCAGGUGUAGCGGUGAAAUGCGUAGAUAUCUGGAGGAACACCGGUGGCGAAGGCGGCAUCCUGGACCGGUAUUGACGCUGAGGCGCGAAAGCUAGGGGAGCAAACGGG